UAGCUCAGUUGGUAAAGAAUCUGCCUGCAAUGCAGGAGACCCAGGUUUGAUUCCUGG
rfam:Ovis aries breed Texel chromosome 1, whole genome shotgun sequence.